GAGUGGGUUAAAGUGAACUUGAGAUAUGAGGUUCAGCUAGAAAAAAUUUAACCUCAUUUCUAACAAAUAACUAAAGUACCAAGUGAAAUUCCUUUUUUGGGGGUCAACUGACCCCCACUCUACCGAAGAGCUCUGUUAGUGGAUGUCCACUACGUUCAACUGCAUCCACACCAAUCAUAUAUAACCAGUAAAUGAAAUAAAAUGAGCUUAAGAAAAAAGUAUGAGAAAUUUUGAACAUGUGCUAAUUGUAGAAUAAGAGCUAAAUUGAAAAUGAUGUUAUAACAAAGGAUGAUGAUCCUAA
rnacentral:lncRNA from 1 species